rnacentral:rRNA from 1 species
GCAGCCGCGGUAAUACGGAGGGUGCGAGCGUUAAUCGGAAUUACUGGGCGUAAAGGGUGCGUAGGUGGUUGAAUAAGUUAUCUGUGAAAUCCCUGGGCUCAACCUGGGAAGGUCAGAUAAGACUGUUNGACUCGAGUAUGGGAGAGGGUAGUGGAAUUUCCGGUGUAGCGGUGAAAUGCGUA